GCCUCGAUAGCUCAGUCGGCAGAGCGCAACCUUGGUAAGGUUGAGGCCCCGAGUUCAAUCCUCGGUCGAGGCU
rnacentral:tRNA from 1 species